rnacentral:rRNA from 1 species
CCUACGGGGGGCUGCAGUGGGGAAUAUUGGACAAUGGGGGGAACCCUGAUCCAGCCAUGCCGCGUGUGUGAAGAAGGCCCUCGGGUUGUAAAGCACUUUCAGUGAGGAAGAACGCCUGGUGGUUAAUACCCAUCAGGAAAGACAUCACUCACAGAAGAAGCACCGGCUAACUCCGUGCCAGCAGCCGCGGUAAUACGGAGGGUGCGAGCGUUAAUCGGAAUUACUGGGCGUAAAGCGCGCGUAGGUGGCUUGAUAAGCCGGUUGUGAAAGCCCCGGGCUCAACCUGCGAACGGCAUCCGGAACUGUCAAGCUAGAGUGCAGGAGAGGAAGGUAGAAUUCCCGGUGUAGCGGUGAAAUGCGUAGAGAUCGGGAGGAAUACCAGUGGCGAAGGCGGCCUUCUGGACUGACACUGACACUGAGGUGCGAAAGCGUGGGUAGCAAACAGGAUUAGAUACCCGAGUAGUC